GACGAACGCUGGCGGCGUGCCUAACACAUGCAAGUCGAGCGAACAGAUCAGGAGCUUGCUCCUCUGACGUUAGCGGCGGACGGGAGAGUAACAUGUGGAUAACCUACCUAUAAGACUGGGAUAACUACGGGAAACCGGAGCUAAUACCGGAUAAUAUAUUGAACCGCGUGGUUCAAUAGUGAAAGACGGUUUUACUGUCACUUAUAGAUGGAUCCGCGCUGCAUUAGCUAGUUGGUAAGGUAACGGCUUACCAAGGCAACGAUGCGUAGGCGACCUGAGAGCGUGGUCGGCCACACGGGAACUGAGACACGGCCCAGACUCCUACGGUAGGCAGCAGUAGGGAAUCUUACGCAAUGGGGGAAAGCCUGACGGAGCAACGCCGCGUGAGUGAUGAAGGUCCUCGGAUCGUAAAACUCUGUUAUGAGUGAAGAACAAAUGUGUAAGUAACUAUGCACGUCUUGACGGUACCUAAUCAGAAAGCCACGGCUAACUACGUG
rnacentral:rRNA from 1 species